AGAGGUCAUCUUGGAAGAGCUACCUGCUAGCUUCACUAUCUGCGAGAUAUCAGCUCCUCACCGCUGUAAAAGGGAUCUGCUUUCCAGAGCUGGCAAAAGCCAAACUGAAAAAGCAGAUUUCUGGAGAAUAUGAAGAGAGGAAACCACUGCAAGUCCCUUUGCCCUGGCUGCCAACAUUAGCCUGUUGCUUUUAAGAGUAGCUCAUGAAAUGCAGAUGGACUUUACCUUGGGCAGCAAGAAGCCUCUACUCUGUCAGCUGGCCCCGGUCUCCUUCUUCUGCUGCGUCCUUGUCCUUUCUCAGGUGUGGGAGCUGCCAAGAGUUUUACUCCAUCACUCGAGGAGCUGGCCGAGGUUAGGACCUGUACAGCUGCCAGUUAUAGAGUGGGGUUUAAGGCAAAUCAAAGAGUUUCUAGCUGUAGUAAACAGGAAGAGAGGUGAGAGGGCUUACAAACACCUUCUGUGAGACCAAAACUGAAGGCAGCCAAGGUACAGCCAGCCCUGGUAUGAAGAGGAGUGUGAGUGCUCAGCUGCCUGCGUCCCACAGCACACCUGUGGGCAGCCACUGAGCUAUCCUUGCCAAGCUGCAUGGUCUCAGGGUUUUGUCCCCUACAGCUACCAUCAGCUGCUGCACUGCAGUGUGGGAAUAUCCCUCCACGUUAGAAGUGGAUUUGGAACAACAGCUCAUAGCUACUGGGGCCUCUUGGCGAUCCUUUUGUGAGCACCUUGGACUCAAGUGCAGUGCUUUGGAAUUCUUUUGCACAUGUCAAGGACUGAGGAGUGAGUCCAGGACAGGCUUGAUCUGUUUGUUUUGUCCAAUGACUUCACAAGAUGGUGUUCUGUGUCAUACUGUGCUGCUUUGCAUCUGUCUCAGCAGGCACCGUUUCCUUGUUUGCGUCUCUCAAGGGUCCCCAGUGCCAGCACGGCCCAGCGAGGGCCCUUCCUGGCCAUAGCGCUCAGUGAAUCCCUUGCACCCCUCUCCCGUGGGCAGAGGGGAUGAGCGAGAGGGACACUGAGCCCUGAUUGCCCAGGGCUGGCAGUCACCUCAGAGGUGCAGGAGGAGAGGCCAUCCAAGAGCUCUCCUUUGAGGAAUCCUUGCCUGUUUCAGG